UACGAAGAGUGCAAACGUUGCUCGGAAUCAUUGGGCGUAAAGCGCACGUAGGCGGCUUCGCAAGUCGGAUGUGAAAUACCUAGGCUCAACCAAGGACGUGCAUCCGAAACUGCGAGGCUUGAGUACAGAAGAGGAUCGCGGAAUUCCCGGUGUAGAGGUGAAAUUCGUAGAUAUUCGGAGGAACACCAGUGGCGAAGGCGGCUCACUGGUCCGGUACUGACGCUGAGGUGCGAAAGCGUGGGGAGCAAACAGG
rnacentral:rRNA from 1 species